AAUCGAAAUCAAUAUCGGUAAAAUCAAUAAAUAAUUAAAAUGAAGAAAAUCGAACGAAAACAAUUUUUUACGACGAAGCAAAAAUUUACUUCAUUAGAGCCGCUAUUUACAUCAGAAAACAACAACUGAAUAGCUGAUUCAUUUUAAUCUACUAAAGGAAUUCAAUGACACAGUGAGAAUAAUCGAUACAAAGAAAUGUGCAAAAAAAACACAAUCCAGUGUUCUAAUCGCAUAAAUCUCGUAACGAUGUGAAUGACAAAUUUAUUUGCCAAAAAUUAUUUUUAAUUAUAAACGCAAACCAUAAAUCUGAUCCGGUUGCAUCGACUGUUCAACGGAUUCGAGUGAAAUAAAUUAUUCGAUUGGAAAACUCUUACCUGACUGCCCAAGACAACGAUUUGAGGUAACUGUAUUGAAUCGGAACCUACUGUGUUGAAAACAUCCUGCAAUUUAUUAAUUACUGGAAUUAACGCUUCCAUUUUGCUUAUUAAAAAA